rnacentral:rRNA from 1 species
UACGUAGGGUGCGAGCGUUGUCCGGAAUUAUUGGGCGUAAAGAGCUUGUAGGCGGUUUGUCGCGUCUGCUGUGAAAUCCGGGGCUCAACCCCGGACUUGCAGUGGGUACGGGCAGACUAGAGUGUGGUAGGGGAGACUGGAAUUCCGUGGUGAUAGCGGUGAAAUGCGCAGAUAUCAGGAGGAACACCAAUAGCGAAGGCAGCUCGCUGGGACGUUACUGACACUGGAGGCGACGAAAGCCAUGGGGAGCGAACAGG